rnacentral:rRNA from 1 species
GACGAACGCUGGCGGCGUGCUUAACACAUGCAAGUCGAGCGGUAAGGCCCUUUCGGGGGUACGACGAGCGGCGAACGGGUGAGUAACACGUGGGUGACCUGCCCUCCAGCUCUGGGAUAAGCCUGGGAAACCGGGGUCUAAUACCGGAUAUGACUCCAUGACGCAUGUUGUGGGGUGGAAAGCCUUGUGCGGCUGAGGAUGGGCCCGCGGCCUAUCAGCUUGUUGGUGGGGUGAU